AUUGAACGCUGGCGGCAUGCCUUACACAUGCAAGUCGAACGGCAGCAUGAUCUAGCUUGCUAGAUUGAUGGCGAGUCGCGAACGGGUGAGUAAUACAUCGGAACGUGCCCUGUAGUGGGGGAUAACUAGUCGAAAGAUUAGCUAAUACCGCAUACGACCUGAGGGUGAAAGUGGGGGACCGCAAGGCCUCAUGCUAUAGGAGCGGCCGAUGUCUGAUUAGCUAGUUGGUGAGGUAAAGGCUCACCAAGGCGACGAUCAGUAGCUGGUCUGAGAGGACGAUCAGCCACACUGGGACUGAGACACGGCCCAGACUCCUACGGGAGGCAGCAGUGGGGAAUUUUGGACAAUGGGCGAAAGCCUGAUCCAGCAAUGCCGCGUGUGUGAAGAAGGCCUUCGGGUUGUAAAGCACUUUUGUCCGGAAAGAAAUGGCUCUGGUUAAUACCUGGGGUCGAUGACGGUACCGGAAGAAUAAGGACCGGCUAACUACGUG
rnacentral:rRNA from 1 species